GUGCCAGCAGCCGCGGUAAUACGUAGGGUGCGAGCGUUAAUCGGAAUUACUGGGCGUAAAGCGUGCGCAGGCGGUUUUGUAAGACAGAUGUGAAAUCCCCGGGCUCAACCUGGGACCUGCAUUUGUGACUGCAAGGCUAGAGUACGGUAGAGGGGGAUGGAAUUCCGCGUGUAGCAGUGAAAUGCGUAGAUAUUCGGAGGAACACCGAUGGCGAAGGCAAUCCCCUGGACCUGUACUGACGCUCAUGCACGAAAGCGUGGGGAGCAAACAGGAUUAGAUUACCCUGGUAGUCC
rnacentral:rRNA from 1 species